rnacentral:snoRNA from 1 species
GGGUCAAUGAUGAGAACUCAUAUGGUCUCGAAGACAGAUGAUGACCCAAAAAUUACGUUCAAUAGGAUUACACUGAGGCCC